rnacentral:snRNA from 1 species
GUGCUCGCUUCGGCAUCACAUAUACUAAAAUUGGAACAAUACAGAGGAGAUUAGCAUGACUCCUGCGCAAGGAUGACAUGCAAAUUUGUGAAGCGUUCCAUCGUUUA